rnacentral:rRNA from 1 species
UACGUAGGGCGCAAGCGUUGUCCGGAAUUAUUGGGCGUAAAGAGCUCGUAGGCGGUCUGUCGCGUCUGCUGUGAAAACUCAGGGCUUAACCCUGAGCUUGCAGUGGGUACGGGCAGACUAGAGUGCGGUAGGGGAGACUGGAAUUCCUGGUGUAGCGGUGAAAUGCGCAGAUAUCAGGAGGAACACCGGUGGCGAAGGCGGGUCUCUGGGCCGUAACUGACGCUGAGGAGCGAAAGCAUGGGGGAGCGAACAGG